rnacentral:rRNA from 1 species
UACGUAGGGGGCAAGCGUUGUCCGGAAUCAUUGGGCGUAAAGAGCGUGUAGGCGGCCCGAUAAGUCCGCUGUGAAAGUCCAGGGCUCAACCCUGGGAUGCCGGUGGAUACUGUCGGGCUAGAGUGCGGAAGAGGCGAGUGGAAUUCCUGGUGUAGCGGUGAAAUGCGCAGAUAUCGGGAGGAACACCGGUGGCGAAGGCGGUUCUCUGGGCCUUACCUGACGCUGAGGAGCGAAAGCGUGGGGAGCGAACAGG